rnacentral:rRNA from 1 species
AGAGUUUGAUCAUGGCUCAGAGCGAACGCUGGCGGCAGGCCUAACACAUGCAAGUCGAACGAACUCUUCGGAGUUAGUGGCGGACGGGUGAGUAACACGUGGGAACGUGCCUUUAGGUUCGGAAUAACUCAGGGAAACUUGUGCUAAUACCGAAUGUGCCCUUCGGGGGAAAGAUUUAUCGCCUUUAGAGCGGCCCGCGUCUGAUUAGCUAGUUGGUGAGGUAAAGGCUCACCAAGGCGACGAUCAGUAGCUGGUCUGAGAGGAUGAUCAGCCACAUUGGGACUGAGACACGGCCCAAACUCCUACGGGAGGCAGCAGUGGGGAAUCUUGCGCAAUGGGCGAAAGCCUGACGCAGCCAUGCCGCGUGAAUGAUGAAGGUCUUAGGAUUGUAAAAUUCUUUCACCGGGGACGAUAAUGACGGUACCCGGAGAAGAAGCCCCGGCUAACUUCGUG